ACUCCUACGGGAGGCAGCAGUGGGGAAUAUUGCACAAUGGGCGCAAGCCUGAUGCAGCCAUGCCGCGUGUGUGAAGAAGGCCUUAGGGUUGUAAAGCACUUUCAGCGAGGAGGAAGGGUAGUGUGUUAAUAGCACAUUUCAUUGACGUUACUCGCAGAAGAAGCACCGGCUAACUCCGUGCCAGCAGCCGCGGUAAUA
rnacentral:rRNA from 1 species